rnacentral:tRNA from 1 species
CAUUAAGUGACUGAAAAGAAAGUAUUGAUCUCUUAAAUCAUAUUAUAGUAUAUUAACAAAUACUCUUAAUGA